AUACCAUGGUGUGGGCAAUUCUUCAACAACAUCUUAAAGCAUUUGAAUGCCUCGUGAAAUAACUCCCCAGACUAUUGUUGAAAAUUUCUGAUAUCCUUCCUAGCAU
rfam:Helianthus annuus linkage group 1, whole genome shotgun sequence.